GUGGGAUGGCGGAUGAAGAAGAGGAUCCCACCUUUGAGGAAGAAAAUGAAGAAAUUGGAGGAGGUGCAGAAGGUGGACAGGGUAAAAGAAAGAGACUUUUUUCUAAAGAAUUACGGUGUAUGAUGUAUGGGUUUGGAGAUGACCAGAAUCCUUAUACUGAAUCAGUAGAUAUUCUUGAAGACCUUGUCAUAGAGUUCAUCACUGAAAUGACUCAUAAGGCAAUGUCAGUUGGAAGACAAGGUCAGGUACAAGUUGAAGAUAUCGUCUUCUUGAUUCGAAAGGACCCAAGAAAGUUUGCUAGGGUUAAAGACUUGCUUACUAUGAAUGAAGAAUUGAAACGUGCUAGAAAAGCAUUUGAUGAAGCAAACUAUGGAUCUUGACAUCUUUUCUGAAGCUUCAUUAUGUUCUGGGGAAACCAUACUUAAUAACUGUAUUUUCCACAGUAAGGCCCUGAUACCUAACCAUGUGAAUGAAAAAUGGAGAACCACAAAGUUUUCAGGCUUUAUUUUCAUGUUUUCAAUUUUAGAGUGAUAUAUGAGCCUUUAAUUGCCUGCCAUUAUAUUACCCUACUUUAAUGACAUAUUAGAUUUUAAUGACCACAUGUAAGUCAAAGUACCUUUGGUUUGCAAACCAUUCAGUUUCUUCUGACUCUUGACCAUCUCAAUGAUGAAUUAAUAUUUAUGUAUACUUGUGCCAUUGUAGGUUGUACUAUAGCUGUUUAAUAUGUGAAAUCUAAAUGGCAGCUUUGACUUUGAUAGCUAAGAUGUGUUUCAUAUAUUUCUAAAGCUUUUAGACCAAAGUAGUGUAAGUUAUUAAAA